AUCUAUUGGAGCUUAAACUUCAGCAGCAGUCAUUCCAAUGAAUAUUCAGGGUUAAUUUCCUUUAGGAUUGACUGGUUUUAUCUUCUUGAAGUCCAAGGGACUCUAAAGAGUCUUCUCUAAUACCACAGUUCAAAAGCAUCAAUUCUUCAGCACUCUGCUUUAUUUAUGGUCCAAUUCUCACAUCUGUAUUUGACUACUGGUAAAACCAUAUAUUUGACUAUAUGGACCUUUGUCGGUAAAGUAAUGUCUCUGCUUUUUAAUAUGCUGUCUAGUAACUUUUGGUAAUUAUGUGCUUCCUAUUCAGUGUGUUAUUUCUGCAGAGUCAUUUUGGUAAGUUUCAUUUUUCUAGGAGUGGAUCUGUUUCCUGUGAGUUUUGAGCUUGAUUGGCAUAAAUGUAUUCACAAUACCUUAUAUAUUUAAACUGUAGCAUCUCUGUGUUCUUCGGGCUUUUUAAUUUUCUUUGAGCCUUCUCAUUUUAUUAACAACCUUGCAUAACUUUUUUCCUGUUUUCAAAGAAUCAGCUUUGUGCUUGAUUGAUGCUUUCUGUUUUGUUUUUCUUUCCCUAGCUCAUCGUUUCAUUCUUUCCUUCAACUUUUCCUUUACUUUCAGAAUUUUUUCUCUAAAUUCUUAAAUUGGAAACAGAUUAAUAACACCAUUAUUUUUCUAAUAUAAGGAUAUAAAGCCAACAUAUUUUUCUGAGAUCCACUUUAGCUGCAACCUGCAAGUUUUGAUACUUACCACCAAUCACUAGCCAUAGUAUUAUGUAUUUUCUAAUUCCUAAUUUAAUUAACUAUAUCUUUUACCUAUGAGUUAUUCAGAAGUAUAAUGUUCUCUAAAUUUUAAAUGCUAAUGAAUUUUUUCUAUUAGAAUGAAUUAUGUCAAACUGCUAACAUUCAGUCUUUUUAUAAGCUAUAAAAUGGCACUUUCAUAUAUUCCAACAUAAUAGUUUUCUUUUAUUACUAUAUAACUUAAUUUCAUUUUGGUCAGACAAUGUUAGAUUGUGGAUUUUAAACCAAAGGUAACCACAUACACACAAAAGUCCUUAUUUCUACCAUUUUGUGUUUUAUUUGGGGGUUUUAAAAUGUUAUAAAUAUGUGUGUAAUCAGUAAUUUUCAAAUAAAAUCCUCCCUGA
rnacentral:lncRNA from 1 species